AGGGGGAGGGGGAGCGGGUCGGAGCACAUAGUGGCCAGCAUUAUCCUGCCGCGUGUGUUUCAGAGACGCUGUACUGCUCCCUGAAGAGAACUCCGGACUAUGUUUUUGGAAAAACAAGGUGUUAGAAGGGGAUAAGGGGGGUUUUGAACUGCUACAAGAAGAGCCUCUGCUAAGAGGAUGCCUUGAAGUUCAGCCUUCCUCAGUGAAGGCUUUCAAGAGAUAGCUCUUGGCCUCUGAGUCAGCUAUGGAAGAUGCUUCAGGACUACUGAGCAGCAGAACAGAAAAUCCUCCUGCUGGUAUCAAGAACAAGUGAACAAAAAACUGCCUAUUUUUCCUAUCAUAAUUUGAUCUGUAAAAAGCAGGGUUCUGAGAUCUUGACAGAUUUUCAUUGCUAGAAUAUUAUUUUGCUCAAAUAAGCAGUAAGAAAUACUCAUAGAAAGAAAUACUCAUAGCAGAAAUGUUUUUUGUCUUCUCUGUUUAGGAAAUAGGGGGGGGAAAAGGCAUUAUGGCUUGCAUAGUAAAACACUGAAACCACUUGGAACUAUAA